rnacentral:lncRNA from 1 species
CCUUUUUCAAUCCUAGGUUGAAACAGGAUUGGUUAAUUGCUAUACUUUCCUCACUAGAUCAGGGUAGCAUAAUAGGCUUUUACAAGUCCUGCGCAGUGGCGGCAGACCACGUGAACAGCAGCUUCAUAUUUGACUUUGGAGAUGAAGGAAGCCUGUCUAUUGCUUCUCGGCUUUGCAACGAUACAGACUGCCAGCCUUCAUUUGACUAUGUAUACAUGGAAGCUUUCCUGAAUGGAAAAACAUGCCCCAAAUGCUACAAGCCAGGCUAUACCAGCUGCAAAGACAAUGGGACCGUAUCCUGCCGAGGAAAUUUCGUAACAUGUGCUGUAAUUAGUGGGGAAAUGUCAGAAGGUCCCACUAAAAUACCAUUCGCUGCAAAAGGAUGUGCUCGUACUGACUAUGAUGGUGAUAUCUCCGAGAAAGCACCAGUGACAAUUGAGUCGGGAAUAUACACCUACAAAUUUGUCAAAGUCACCUUUCGACCCGCCAACAGUGCUUUGGCAGCCAUGCGACGCAUCGCGUUUACUCUGGACUACAAAGACCUUGGUCCUCAACUUGCUUUUUUCUUCCCAUGCUUCUUGGGCGUCUUUGCGGUGAAAAUCUUUUCCUGAUGAAGAAAGAGCCAGCUAGCAUCUUGGACAGCUUAAGGCAUAAUGACGAUCCCUUUGCAAACUGAUACAGUAUUUUUAAUGCUUAUUCAAAAAACGGUGAGGUAUAGAUUUAAAUAUAAAUAAAAGUCACCUGGCUAAACUUAUCUGAGUGUGA